GACUCUAGGUCAAAGUAAUUCUGGAGGAAAAAAACGACUUUCUUCAUGACAUAUUUGCCUAAGCAUGAGACUUGAAACUUGAGACUUGGAGAACAGAAACAGAUUCAGAUCCAUAAACAUAAUUUAUUGAAAAAAAUUAAAGAAAAUAGAGACUAGCUUUGCUUUUUCUACAUAUGUGCAGCACCAGUCGACUACCAUUCUGUUUACAAACACACGCCGAGGUCCCGUUCUUCACGCCCAUCUUCCCCCGUUGCAAGUCACCAGCGCUGGCAAGGCAGUAGAUUGCGCAGUCAUCUCCACAUGGGGUAAUAUGACAACCCGACAAACAGCACAAACUACUACCUCAGCCAGCGCCUGGCCUCUGCGCCGCUCCGUUCUUUUGUUCUGUCCGCGUCUCUCCUCUUCAUUUUUAGCACGGAACCCCGGUUCUCUUGGCGUCGCCGUGCGUAAAAGCGCACGGCGAAGGGGGAGAAAAAAUGGCGUGCGCCCAAACACGGGGCCGCAAUAAAGCGUGACAAAACCCCACCCAAAGCAUGGAAAGGAGGAGGAAAAAAAAAAAAAAAACACCACUAGUACCUUUUCCAUGCUUCCUCUGCACCCACCGCUCGCCUCGUAUGACCUCGGUGAAAAUGACAUAUGGCAGGUGAAGACGGCGGGGGAUCGCUCUCUCUCUCCGGAUUGGCACAGGCGACGUUCAGCGCCGUCUCGGAUCACAAAAUAUGAUGAAGGCAUUAACGGUGUUUUUAAAUGUUGAAAAUAGCGCAGUUACUCGAACGAUUAAAAUCACGUGCAAGUGAUAAAGUCGGUAGCAUCAACGUGUUCAAAUGCGCACGGAGCACCAGGCACAACACUUAGGUUACAAGAUAUAAGAAGAAAUGAAUGAAUACUGUUUUGAUUGAGCAAUAAAUCGUAAGAGAUUAAAAAUCGAAGCUAAAGUCACAGGUGUGAUUUUAUAUAAAUACCGCCGGGAUUUUGUUGGAGAUAUAAGAAAACGGAACGGAGGGGAAAAAAAAAAAAUCCACCUCGGCGCUCCACACGAUCCUUCACCUUGCAGCUGAACUGCAGCAGUCUGUUUUAUAAUCUAUUGUUGUCUGCUUCUCUCCCCGCGCAGUCAAAAGAAAGUUGUCCCGCGAUCCAGUCCCUUCCGACUCCAAAACGCGACCGAAUCCGCGAGCGAGCACACGACGCGCGGGUCCCUCUCUCUGGCCCCGAUCCCUCCGCAGACGCCGCGUGUCAGGUAGUGUGGAAAAUGAGUGGAUGUGGCGGAGCGGCGUGGAUAAAAUUCGCGGGGAACGCCAGGACGGGUGUGGGCACGGGCAGAGAUUGGAGAAAAAACCGCGACGUCCCACUCCGACUGGUUUUUCCGAACGCCAGGGAGGGGAGGGAAACUGCCCGAGUGCGACACCCGCUGGUGAGAGACCUGGGUUCUGGUUUUUCUUAGGUAGUGAUCCACUCUCUCCAAACCGAAGGUCCUCCUUCUCCUUCUCCUCCUCCUCCUCCUCCUCCUCCCGCUCCUAUUGGCCAGGAGGACAAGCCGCUGCCGUGGAAGGGGGACCUCCCAGCUGUGAGCUGCCCGAGAACCCUUCAGAACCCGGAGAGAACACCGUGUUCCUCCUCACCAAGCAUGCCGGGAUAGGAAGGUGGAGAAUAAAAUGGAGGGCAAACCGCAAUCCUCAUUUAAAUCCCUGCAGCAAGAGGGGGAAAAAAAAAAAACGACUGCGUUUCACGGUUAAUUUUGAUGUAACGCACGGCAAGAUCUGCCCGCGCUCGUUAGGAUGAUAGAGGCCGAGACAUUUAAACUGAAACGGUGGUUAAACAGGUCGUGGUUUUACUUCUGCGUACGAGACCCUCCACAGUAAAAAAGGAAAGAAAACCAGAGCAGGACCCGCAAGAAGCUUUACACAACUUUAUUGAAGAUUGUGUAUAAAUACACAUGCACAUUUCAAAUGUAAACCCAAGUGAACUCAAGUGCAGCCAAACCUGGAAACCCCCAACACAUCAUCAUGCAAGGAUGUCUGGAUCAUUUUUACAAAAAAAAAAGAAAAGGAAAAAAAAAAAAAAAAGAGUCCCAAAACAGAAUCAUCCUUUUAUUUUUUAAAAAUAUUCCCUCCCUGACGAGAGCACAGGCAAGACUUUGCAAACUAGUGUGUCUGUGUGGACUCGAGCCACAUCGCCCCCCUCCCCUCCCCUCCUCCCCAUCCCCGUCCCUCCCUACGACGUUUUGGGUCUUGCCGCGGUUUUAAAUAUAUUGUCUGUUUAUUAUUAAAUGCUUACAUAUAAAUAAAUAAACUUUAUCAAAUGUGCACUCACAGAGUGAACUCUUAUGUACAAUAUUGUAUAAGCCUAUAAGUAGCAGUCACAUCUCACUCAGUUGGGAUGGGGUGAGUCGCCCGAAAAGCAAGGCAGCGCCGAGGGCGCGUGAAGCCCACUGAAGUCAAAGCACAGAGAUGCUCGUAAAGGCAUGGUACACGUCUAAUAUUCUGAGGCGACAACGGGUACGCUGAUGCUGUUUACAAUGGAAAGAACAGGUAGAAAAAAAGGAAACGACGCUCCACCGUGGAGAAUAGUUUUAUCGCCUCGAUGGAGGAACGUCCUGCAACGACCCGCUGCAAAACGUUUUCACUUGUAUUGUGAUCCCAAAAGCUGAAAGGCCUUUUAGGCGGACUCACCCCACUGAUUUCAUUUUUUUUUUUUCCCCUCCAUCUUCUCCUUCUACCCUCCCUCUCUCUUUCCCUCCCAGCUCAGGACCACAAAGACGCAUCACCACCUCCCGCCUCUGGAAAGGAAAGCGUUCGGCCGAUAUCCAAGGCGAAGAACCCGUUACUAUUAACCAAACCAAGAAGCCGUGAAAGAAAAAAAAAAAGAAAGAAUCAAAAAGGCAUCAAUCACAUACAUCUGGUCGUGUUUCAUUCCCUUCAGCAUACAUUCUGGCCCUCAGUGUGAGUUAAAAACACUGUAAGAGGAUGCGGGUGACGAGCGAAUAGCGUCUGAUGUGUGUUUGCGGAGGGCGCGGCGGUGAUGUGCAAAGCAGAAGGCGGCCGCUGCGAGAUUGAGGGUUAAGGCCGAGGUGAUCCCGACGGGAGACAUCUGAUGUCAGCGGAAUCACUGAUGUUCCUAAUCUCACAGUGCCAGAUACAUGAAGAGCGCGAGGCCGACGGUAAAGCUUUAAACGCCACCUACGGAGGAUCCUUUAAGAGGGAGAGUCGACGGUUCGCGGUUCGCGCCGGCUAACCUUUUAGCGGACGCUCGCCGCGCGACAUACGUUCAGGCAGAAGUUCUACAGCAGCCACUAUAUAAUAUGGUUUAUUCUGCGACGUUAGCUGGAUAACUGCUUGGUUUUAGGCUUUAAGAAAUAUAAAUUAGAGAACCACAUGACCUUAAAUCACCACUAAGGCUCAAGCCAGUACACUGAUAAUCAGUCUAAAAAUGCAAAAUCACAGCAGCAGCAGCAGCAGCAGCACAAAGCUACGACAGUUUGGCUGUUUGACAUUGUAUAAAACCACAGCUAUGGGCUUUACUUCUCUACCUUAAGUCUAGAUUGUAGACGCGCCUCACCGCUGGCUUACUGAAGGCAGCUUCCUAAGCUUUUAGUGUGAGAAAACUCUCUGAGGAACAAGGUUGUUAAACAAUUGCAGUGUCUGGCAUUAAAAUAUAUAUAGAUAUAUAUAUAUAUUUUAAAAAAAAAAAGGGGGGUGGGGAAGGUGGAUGGUUGGUGAUUGUGCAAGUUCAUAAUAUUUUAGCUCGUCAUGAAAACUCAAUACGAUUCAGUGUUUAAAAUAUUUACAAAAUCUAAAUAAUACUAAAAUGAUAUGCCGACGAUGCAUUGCUCUCAAAAAUAUACUCAUAUA